rnacentral:rRNA from 1 species
GACGAACGCUGGCGGCGUGCAUAAUACAUGCAAGUAGAACGCAGUUGCGAACGGGUGAGUAACGCGUAGGUAACUGCCUCAUAGCGGGGGAUAACUAUUGGAAACGAUAGCUAAUACCGCAUACUGUGAGAUGGACCUGCGUUGUAUUAGCUAGUUGGUGAGGUAAAGGCUCACCAAGGCGACGAUACAUAGCCGACCUGAGAGGGUGAACGAGCACACUGGGACUUGGGCACUGGCCAGAGUCCUUCGGGGGGCAAGAGUAGGGGAUCAUCGGCAAUUGGGGGAAAGCUGACCGAGCAACGCCGGGUGAUAUGAGAAGGUUUUCGGAUCGUAAAACUCUUUUGUGAGAGAAGCGGUAACUAACCAAAAAGGGACGGCUAACUACGUGCCAGCAGCCGCGGUAAUAC